rnacentral:rRNA from 1 species
CCCUUAGAUGUCCUGGGCCGCACGCGCGCUACACUGAUGCAUUCAACGAGUCUACCUUGGCCGAGAGGCCUGGGCAACCUUUUAAACGUGCAUCGUGAUAGGGAUAGAUUAUUGCAAUUAUUAAUCUUGAACGAGGAAUUCCUAGUAAACGCAAAUCAUCAAUUUGCAUUGAUUACGUCCCUGCCCUUUGUACACACCGCCCGUCGCACCUACCGAUUGAAUGGUCCGGUGAGGCCUCGGGAUUGUGACUAGUUCACUUCAUUGUGAGCUGGUUGCGAGAACUUGUCCAAACCUUAUCAUUUAGAGGAAGGUGAANUCGUAACA